ensembl:miRNA
UAUAUUGGGUUGGCCAAAAUAUUUGUUCCAGUUUUUCUGUCACAUCUUACAGAAAAACCCAAAUGAACUUUUUGGUCAACCCAGCAUUUUAAA